rnacentral:lncRNA from 12 species
GCUAAAGAUGCACCUUUUCCUGACACAGAUAUAGUCAGAAGCUCGAGGUUUGGCUACAAACCUACUUAGUUUCUUGUUUUUUCAGGUCAAAGUAACAUCCAGGCUCUGCAUGGCAUGAGGCAGAAACAGGAUUUUCUAGCAUGAACAAAGAGGGAAGCGGAUCUUCUGACUUAAGCUUCAGAGGACGUGACAUGCAUGACUUUUGUCAACUGACCACAGAAGAAGGUGGCAUUAAAGGUUUUUGGGGAGACGCUGUGAUUAUGAUUUAAUAGAAACUCCCUUCCUAGCUCAUCCUUUCUGUGCAGCCUCCUGUCAGGAGUUUGUAGCAG